CCUACGGGGGGCAGCAGUGAGGAAUAUUGGUCAAUGGGCGCGAGCCUGAACCAGCCAAGUCGCGUGAGGGAAGACGGUCCUAUGGAUUGUAAACCUCUUUUGUCGGGGAGCAAAAGACGCCACGCGUGGCGUUCCGAGAGUACCCGAAGAAAAAGCAUCGGCUAACUCCGUGCCAGCAGCCGCGGUAAUACGGCGGAUGCGAGCGUUAUCCGGAUUGAUUGGGUUUAAAGGGUGCGCAGGCGGAAGAUCAAGGCAGCGGUAAAAUUGAGAGGCUCAACCUCUUCGAGCCGUUGAAACUGGUUUUCUUGAGUGGGUGAGAAGUAUGCGGAAUGCGUAGUGUAGCGGUGAAAUGCAUAGAUAUCACGCAGAACUCCGAUUGCGAAGGCAGCAUACCGGCGCUCAACUGACGCUCAUGCACGAAAGUGUGGGUAUCGAACAGGAUUAGAUACCCCAG
rnacentral:rRNA from 1 species